rnacentral:rRNA from 1 species
AUUGAACGCUGGCGGCAGGCCUAACACAUGCAAGUCGAGCGAGUGGCGGGAGGGUUGGUAAGGUCUGGGAAACUGCCCGGUGGAGGGGGAUAACUACUGGGAGCGGUAGCUAAUACCGCAUUCCAUCGGCUGUGCCGGGAUGGGAUGAGCGAGUAGGUGGGGUAAAGGCUCACCUAGGCGACGCUCCCUACCUGGUCUGAGAGGAUGAACAGCCACACUGGAACUGAGACACGGUCCAGACUCCUACGGGAGGCAGCAGUGGGGAAUAUUGCACAAUGGGCGAAAGCCUGAUGCAGCCAUGCCGCGUGUAUGAAGAAGGCCUUCGGGUUGUAAAGUACUUUCAGUGGGGAGGCGUUACCCGCAGAAGAAGCACCGGCUAACUCCGUGCCAGCAGCCGCGGUAAUUC